rnacentral:rRNA from 1 species
GACGAACGCUGGCGGCGUGCCUAAUACAUGCAAGUCGAACGGUCUUUUCUAUGGAAGCUUACUUCCGCUGAGAAGAUAGUGGCGAACGGGUGAGUAACACGUGGGUAACCUGCCCAUAAGAGGGGGAUAACAUCCGGAAACGGGUGCUAAUACCGCAUAGUUUUCUUGAUCGCAUGAUUGAGAAAGGAAAGACGGCCUUUGUGCUGUCGCUGAUGGAUGGACCCGCGGCGUAUUAGUUAGUUAGUGAGGUAACGGCUCACCAAGACGAUGAUACGUAGCCGACCUGAGAGGGUGAUCGGCCACAUUGGGACGGAGACACGGCCCAAACUCCUACGGGAGGCAGCAGUAGGGAAUCUUCCGCAAUGGACGAAAGUCUGACGGAGCAACGCCGCGUGAGUGAAGAAGGUUUUCGGAUCGUAAAACUCUGUUGUCAGAGAAGAACAAGUCGGAGAGUAACUGCUCCGGCCUUGACGGUAUCUGACCAGAAAGCCACGGCUAACUACGUGCCAGCAGCCGCCGUAACAC